rnacentral:rRNA from 1 species
GGUUAAGCGACUAAGCGUACACGGUGGAUGCCCUGGCAGUCAGAGGCGAUGAAGGACGUGCUAAUCUGCGAAAAGCGUCGGUAAGGUGAUAUGAACCGUUAUAACCGGCGAUGUCCGAAUGGGGAAACCCAGUGUGUUUCGACACACUAUCAUUAACUGAAUCCAUAGGUUAAUGAGGCGAACCGGGGGAACUGAAACAUCUAAGUACCCCGAGGAAAAGAAAUCAACCGAGAUUCCCCCAGUAGCGGCGAGCGAACGGGGAGGAGCCCAGAGCCUGAAUCAGUGUGUGUGUUAGUGGAAGCGUCUGGAAAGGCGCGCGAUACAGGGUGACAGCCCCGUACACAAAAAUGCACAUGCUGUGAGCUCGAAGAGUAGGGCGGGACACGUGGUAUCCUGUCUGAAUAUGGGGGGACCAUCCUCCAAGGCUAAAUACUCCUGACUGACCGAUAGUGAACCAGUACCGUGAGGGAAAGGCGAAAAGAACCCCGGCGAGGGGAGUGAAAAAGAACCUGAAACCGUGUACGUACAAGCAGUGGGAGCCCUGAUUUAUCAGGGUGACUGCGUACCUUUUGUAUAAUGGGUCAGCGACUUAUAUUCUGUAGCAAGGUUAACCGAAUAGGGGAGCCGGAGGGAAACCGAGUCUUAACUGGGCGUUAAGUUGCAGGGUAUAGACCCGAAACCCGGUGAUCUAGCCAUGAGCAGGUUGAAGGUUGGGUAACACUAACUGGAGGACCGAACCGACUAAUGUUGAAAAAUUAGCGGAUGACUUGUGGCUGGGGGUGAAAGGCCAAUCAAACCGGGAGAUAGCUGGUUCUCCCCGAAAGCUAUUUAGGUAGCGCCUCGUGAAUUCAUCUCCGGGGGUAGAGCACUGUUUCGGCAAGGGGGUCAUCCCGACUUACCAACCCGAUGCAAACUGCGAAUACCGGAGAAUGUUAUCACGGGAGACACACGGCGGGUGCUAACGUCCGUCGUGAAGAGGGAAACAACCCAGACCGCCAGCUAAGGUCCCAAAGUCAUGGUUAAGUGGGAAACGAUGUGGGAAGGCCCAGACAGCCAGGAUGUUGGCUUAGAAGCAGCCAUCAUUUAAAGAAAGCGUAAUAGCUCACUGGUCGAGUCGGCCUGCGCGGAAGAUGUAACGGGGCUAAACCAUGCACCGAAGCUGCGGCAGCGACGCUGAUGCGUUGUUGGGUAGGGGAGCGUUCUGUAAGCCUGUGAAGGUGGCCUGUGAGGGUUGCUGGAGGUAUCAGAAGUGCGAAUGCUGACAUAAGUAACGAUAAAGCGGGUGAAAAGCCCGCUCGCCGGAAGACCAAGGGUUCCUGUCCAACGUUAAUCGGGGCAGGGUGAGUCGACCCCUAAGGCGAGGCCGAAAGGCGUAGUCGAUGGGAAACAGGUUAAUAUUCCUGUACUUGGUGUUACUGCGAAGGGGGGACGGAGAAGGCUAUGUUGGCCGGGCGACGGUUGUCCCGGUUUAAGCGUGUAGGCUGGUUUUCCAGGCAAAUCCGGAGAAUCAAGGCUGAGGCGUGAUGACGAGGCACUACGGUGCUGAAGCAACAAAUGCCCUGCUUCCAGGAAAAGCCUCUAAGCAUCAGGUAACAUCAAAUCGUACCCCAAACCGACACAGGUGGUCAGGUAGAGAAUACCAAGGCGCUUGAGAGAACUCGGGUGAAGGAACUAGGCAAAAUGGUGCCGUAACUUCGGGAGAAGGCACGCUGAUGGUAGGUGAAGCGACUUGCUCGUGGAGCUGAAAUCAGUCGAAGAUACCAGCUGGCUGCAACUGUUUAUUAAAAACACAGCACUGUGCAAACACGAAAGUGGACGUAUACGGUGUGACGCCUGCCCGGUGCCGGAAGGUUAAUUGAUGGGGUCAGCGCAAGCGAAGCUCUUGAUCGAAGCCCCGGUAAACGGCGGCCGUAACUAUAACGGUCCUAAGGUAGCGAAAUUCCUUGUCGGGUAAGUUCCGACCUGCACGAAUGGCGUAAUGAUGGCCAGGCUGUCUCCACCCGAGACUCAGUGAAAUUGAACUCGCUGUGAAGAUGCAGUGUACCCGCGGCAAGACGGAAAGACCCCGUGAACCUUUACUAUAGCUUGACACUGAACACUGGUCCUUGAUGUGUAGGAUAGGUGGGAGGCUUUGAAGUGUGGACGCCAGUCUGCAUGGAGCCGUCCUUGAAAUACCACCCUUUAAUGGCUGGUGUUCUAACGUAGGCCCCUUAUCGGGGUUGCGGACAGUGUCUGGUGGGUAGUUUGACUGGGGCGGUCUCCUCCUAAAGAGUAACGGAGGAGCACGAAGGUUGGCUAAUCCUGGUCGGACAUCAGGAGGUUAGUGCAAUGGCAUAAGCCAGCUUGACUGCGAGCGUGACGGCGCGAGCAGGUGCGAAAGCAGGUCAUAGUGAUCCGGUGGUUCUGAAUGGAAGGGCCAUCGCUCAACGGAUAAAAGGUACUCCGGGGAUAACAGGCUGAUACCGCCCAAGAGUUCAUAUCGACGGCGGUGUUUGGCACCUCGAUGUCGGCUCAUCACAUCCUGGGGCUGAAGUAGGUCCCAAGGGUAUGGCUGUUCGCCAUUUAAAGUGGUACGCGAGCUGGGUUUAGAACGUCGUGAGACAGUUCGGUCCCUAUCUGCCGUGGGCGCUGGAGAACUGAGGGGGGCUGCUCCUAGUACGAGAGGACCGGAGUGGACGCAUCACUGGUGUUCGGGUUGUCAUGCCAAUGGCACUGCCCGGUAGCUAAAUGCGGAAGAGAUAAGUGCUGAAAGCAUCUAAGCACGAAACUUGCCCCGAGAUGAGUUCUCCCUGAGACUUAGAGUCUCCUGAAGGAACGUUGAAGACGACGACGUUGAUAGGCCGGGUGUGUAAGCGCAGCGAUGCGUUGAGCUAACCGGUACUAAUGAACCGUGAGGCUUAACCUU